CGCUUUUAAAUUGCCCUGGUAAUGUUUCCCGCAGAUUCUGAUCUGUUCCUCCCGCUCCCACAUUUUUUAAACAAAUGUCAUUCAGAAUAGAGGGGUGGAGGUGGUUGUAGUUUUGUUUGCAAACUGAUGUUUGCUGUUAAGACUGCGAUCCAGGCUGCGCCCAUUUUGCAGAUGGAGAUUUGCCAACCCGUGCGGAUGGUUCCCUGUCUGUCCCAGACGUGCUAAUAUUUGUAGCCACUAAUUGAAUCACUACCGCUUUCUAUGACCCAAGAGGUGGGCUAAGACUUUUAUUGUUUUGCAUCAUUUAAAUGUCGGUAAACCCGAUGGAAUAAAGCAAAGCAAACCUGCUCUGCGGAUGAGGACACUGAGGUUCAGAGAUUGCCCAAGGUCUUGCACGGCGAGAGCAGGCCUGAAGAUUCAAACUCAGAUCACUCUGACGCCACAAAGCCGGUGCCCUUGAUCACUACCACCACCUGGCAUUUUCCUGAGAGCUACUGGAGUUCUCCCUGCGGGCUGUGAGCUGGAAUCUGUGAACAGAGAAGGACCUGGGCCAAGGGAUCUCAGAGGCCGGUGAAAACUGACCUGGAGCAGGGCUUGCACCCUGACUUUGCAACGACCAUACGGUCUGUCAGCAUUUCAUCAACCCUCUGUGGGUCAAAAGGAUAGCCCAUCUGACCCACCUCACGAGGUGGUUGUGAAGAUCAAAGGAAAAAUCGCGUGGAAAUACCAAAUAUUUCACUAUUGUAAAGACUCAUUUUAAGACUUUAUAUUCUAGUAACCUACUGUCAUUCGAUAUGCUUCCAUUGUCAGAGAAGAAAUCUGGCCAUACGUCCUCUUAUUCCAUGUCUUCAAAACUAGUACUUACCGUAUUCACAUGUAUUCUUUCUUCAAAUUUUCUACCUACGUACCUUGAAAGGAAAUUUCUGAAAAUCAUUUGUUCUGCAUCUCUCCUCAGUUGCCACCCCCCACAUCUUUUGGGGGUUUUUGUAUCAAGUUUCCACGGACUAUAUUAAGGGAGGAAAAUAAAACAGGAGUGCAAAGGAAAAUUUGACUGUGAGGUCAUCAUACUAUUGUGAUCACUCACUGCUGACAUGCCCAGAUUGAACCAUUUGCCUUACUGCGGAAACAAAUAAGUCACAAACUUAACUCAACUGAAGUAGAGGGACCCUGAAGUUCUUUCGUGAGUAAUCUUUUCACUGCAGCUUCAGAGUCAUGCCGAAGAGUGGCUUGAACCAACUUAACCAAGAAAUAGCAAUUUUAACAAAUUACAUUUAUUUUCUAAAUCCAAGACUAGUAUAAAUUUGAAUUUUUAAAAAAUAUAUUCUCUAUUUUCAAAAAUAUAAAUGUUUUGUCUUAGAAUAUCACAUAACUAAAAACAGAC
rnacentral:lncRNA from 1 species